rnacentral:rRNA from 1 species
CCUACGGGUGGCAGCAGUGAGGAAUAUUGGUCAAUGGACGAGAGUCUGAACCAGCCAAGUAGCGUGAAGGAUGACUGCCCUAUGGGUUGUAAACUUCUUUUAUAUGGGAAUAAAAUGUUCCACGUGUGGGAUUUUGUAUGUACCAUAUGAAUAAGGAUCGGCUAACUCCGUGCCAGCAGCCGCGGUAAUACGGAGGAUCCGAGCGUUAUCCGGAUUUAUUGGGUGUAAAGGGAGCGUAGGUGGAAUGUUAAGUCAGUUGUGAAAGUUUGCGGCUCAACCGUAAAAUUGCAGUUGAAACUGGCAGGCUUGAGUACAGUAGAGGUGAGCGGAAUUCGUGGUGUAGCGGUGAAAUGCUUAGAUAUCACGAAGAACUCCGGUUGCGAAGGCAGCUCACUGGACUGCAACUGACACUGAGGCUCGAAAGUGUGGGUAUCAAACAGGAUUAGAUACCCGAGUAGUC